CACUCAUUUUCCCAGUUGCCUUUUUACUGUCAUUUACAUGUUUGAAAGUAAAGAGGGAGAAAAGAUGUUCAUAUUUGCUCAAUAACAUAACAUGGAUAAUCUUCAUGCUUUUAGUGAAUGCAAUAAUAGUCAGUAAUUUCUUUAUUGCAGCAGUGAAAAAUGAAAAAGAUGCAGGAUGGAUCUGUGCAGCUUUAUUUCAACAAAUGCUGUGGAUGUUGUUUG